rnacentral:rRNA from 1 species
GAGUUUGAUCUUGGCUCAGAUUGAACGCUGGCGGCAUGCCUUACACAUGCAAGUCGAACGGCAGCACGGGAGCUUGCUCCUGGUGGCGAGUGGCGAGCGGGUGAGUAAUGCAUCGGAACGUAUCCUGGAGUGGGGGAUAACGUAGCGAAAGUUACGCUAAUACCGCAUAUUCUGUGAGCAGGAAAGCGGGGGACCUUCGGGCCUCGCGCUCUUGGAGCGGCCGAGUGUCGGAUUAGCUAGUUAGGUGAGGUAAAGGCUCACCAAGGCGACGAUCCGUAGCAGGUCUGAGAGGAUGAUCUGCCACACUGGAACUGAGACACGGUCCAGACUCCUACGGGAGGCAGCAGUGGGGAACUUUUGGGACAAUGGGGGCAACCCUGAUCCAGCCAUGCCGCGUGAGUGAAGAAGGCCUC